GACGAACCGUGCGAACGUUGUUCGGAAUCACUGGGCUUAAAGGGCGCGUAGGCGGCAGAUCAAGUCCGGGGUGAAAUCCUCCAGCUCAACUGGAGAAGUGCCUUGGAUACUGAUUUGCUCGAGGGAGGUGAGGGGUCGAGGGAACUUCUGGUGGAGCGGUGAAAUGCGUUGAUAUCAGAAGGAACGCCGGUGGCGAAAGCGCU
rnacentral:rRNA from 1 species